AUUGAACGCUGGCGGCAGGCCUAACACAUGCAGGUCGAACGGUAACAGGAAACAGCUUGCUGUUUCGCUGACGAGUGGCGGACGGGUGAGUAAUGUCUGGGAAACUGCCUGAUGGAGGGGGAUAACUACUGGAAACGGUAGCUAAUACCGCAUAACGUCGCAAGACCAAAGAGGGGGACCUUCGGGCCUCUUGCCAUCGGAUGUGCCCAGAUGGGAUUAGCUAGUAGGUGGGGUAACGGCUCACCUAGGCGACGAUCCCUAGCUGGUCUGAGAGGAUGACCAGCCACACUGGAACUGAGAAACGGUCCAGACUCCUACGGGAGGCAGCAGUGGGGAAUAUUGCACAAUGGGCGCAAGCCUGAUGCAGCCAUGCCGCGUGUAUGAAGAAGGCCUUCGGGUUGUAAAGUACUUUCAGCGGGGAGGAAGGGAGUAAAGUUAAUACCUUUGCUCAUUGACGUUACCCGCAGAAGAAGCACCGGCUAACUCCGUG
rnacentral:rRNA from 1 species